rnacentral:rRNA from 1 species
UACGUAGGGGGCGAGCGUUGUCCGGAUUUACUGGGCGUAAAGAGCGUGUAGGCGGCCACGCAGGUCCGUUGUGAAAACUGGAGGCUCAACCUUCAGACGUCGACGGAAACCGUGUGGCUAGAGUCCGGAAGAGGAGAGUGGAAUUCCUGGUGUAGCGGUGAAAUGCGCAGAUAUCAGGAAGAACACCAAUGGCGAAGGCAGCUCUCUGGGACGGUACUGACGCUGAGACGCGAAAGCGUGGGGAGCGAACAGG